rnacentral:rRNA from 1 species
ACGAACGCUGGCGGCGUGGAUAAGACAUGCAAGUCGAACGAGAGAAUUGCUAGCUUGCUAAUAAUUCUCUAGUGGCGCACGGGUGAGUAACACGUGAGUAACCUGCCCCCGAGAGCGGGAUAGCCCUGGGAAACUGGGAUUAAUACCGCAUAGUAUCGAAAGAUUAAAGCAGCAAUGCGCUUGGGGAUGGGCUCGCGGCCUAUUAGUUAGUUGGUGAGGUAACGGCUCACCAAGGCGAUGACGGGUAGCCGGUCUGAGAGGAUGUCCGGCCACACUGGAACUGAGACACGGUCCAGACACCUACGGGUGGCAGCAGUCGAGAAUCAUUCACAAUGGGGGAAACCCUGAUGGUGCGACGCCGCGUGGGGGAAUGAAGGUCUUCGGAUUGUAAACCCCUGUCAUGUGGGAGCAAAUUAAAAAGAUAGUACCACAAGAGGAAGAGACGGCUAACUCUGUGCCAGCAGCCGCGGUAAUACAGAGGUCUCAAGCGUUGUUCGGAAUCACUGGGCGUAAAGCGUGCGUAGGCUGUUUCGUAAGUCGUGUGUGAAAGGCGCGGGCUCAACCCGCGGACGGCACAUGAUACUGCGAGACUAGAGUAAUGGAGGGGGAACCGGAAUUCUCGGUGUAGCAGUGAAAUGCGUAGAUAUCGAGAGGAACACUCGUGGCGAAGGCGGGUUCCUGGACAUUAACUGACGCUGAGGCACGAAGGCCAGGGGAGCGAAAGGGAUUAGAUACCCCUGUAGUCCUGGCAGUAAACGGUGCACGCUUGGUGUGCGGGGAAUCGACCCCCUGCGUGCCGGAGCUAACGCGUUAAGCGUGCCGCCUGGGGAGUACGGUCGCAAGAUUAAAACUCAAAGAAAUUGACGGGGACCCGCACAAGCGGUGGAGUAUGUGGCUUAAUUCGAUGCAACGCGAAGAACCUUACCUGGGCUUGACAUGUAAUGAACAACAUGUGAAAGCAUGCGACUCUUCGGAGGCGUUACACAGGUGCUGCAUGGCCGUCGUCAGCUCGUGUCGUGAGAUGUUUGGUUAAGUCCAGCAACGAGCGCAACCCCUGUUGCCAGUUACCAGCACGUGAAGGUGGGGACUCUGGCGAGACUGCCCAGAUCAACUGGGAGGAAGGUGGGGACGACGUCAGGUCAGUAUGGCCCUUAUGCCCAGGGCUGCACACGUACUACAAUGCCCAGUACAGAGGGGGCCGAAGCCGCGAGGCGGAGGAAAUCCUAAAAACUGGGCCCAGUUCGGACUGUAGGCUGCAACCCGCCUACACGAAGCCGGAAUCGCUAGUAAUGGCGCAUCAGCUACGGCGCCGUGAAUACGUUCCCGGGUCUUGUACACACCGCCCGUCACGUCAUGGAAGCCGGUCGCACCCGAAGUAUCUGAAGCCAACCGCAAGGAGGCAGGGUCCUAAGGUGAGACUGGUAACUGGGAUG